rnacentral:misc_RNA from 1 species
AAAAAAAAAGACAUUACUUUUUAAACGUUUAUUGUACAAGAAAAAUAAAAUACAAUAAUGAUUUUAUUUUACACACGCACAAGUAUAAAACAAAUAGUACUAGCACAAAAUUCAUACCUAUUACAAAUACUAGCACAAAAUCUAUCCCUAUUACAAACUAGUACACAACACAUAGGCUAGAAGAUAAAUAUGGAGCUAAUUGCAGAAGCAGCAUAGCUUUUCUAGUAUGGGAAAUUUUGAUUUGGUAGGAAAGAGAGUUUUUUUAUUGCAACAGAAAAUCAAGGAGCUCUUGUAGGUGGAAUAAAUCAUCUCAAAAACAAGACGGAGCUGCCCAAUGAAUAAAAGGAUUGGGAUAAAAGCAAGUGCGGCUAUAGAAAUAGCAAAUCGAAUCAAUCCAUGUUUGAAAAUUAAGAAAAAGGCUAAAACGAAGGCACCCAUCAUUGUUAUUAUUGCUAUGAAAAGGAAUAAGAAUCCUCGAAUUAACUUGUUUGGCAAUGACUUGAGAAAAUCAUCCAUUGAGAAUGGAGAAGUAAGAAUGGACAAGAAGGAUAGUAUCGAAGAGGAUGAGAAUGCUAAAGAUACUGCAUCCGCUAUGGCAAAAAUUUUAAACAAGGUCCUAUUAAGAAAAACAGGAAACCCAUUAUCUUGUCCAUUAUCUUGUCUAUUACCUCCAGGUAAUGUAAACGCUGCUGCAAAAGUAACAGUGGCAAUAAGGGUUGCCACAAGCAUGCAUGAAUUUGCUGUAUUUAUCAUCCAUUUCUCUGCUGCUUCCCUUAAUUCCUUGUGCUCUUUCAGGAAUACAUCUCUCGGAGUCUUCCCAUCUACAUUUUUUGCUGCAAUUUGCCCUGGUCUAACAACCUUCUUCAC